CAUGAGCCUUAUGGCCUGACUCCUGUGUAGGUCUUAAACUUCCACUUACCGCACUCACUGCCACCACAUCUUCAUUUGGCACUGUCCCACAAUAUAUAUUGACGUUUGUAGGCUGUGCUCUUUCCUGCUUCCUUUCCUUUGCACUUGUUGUUUCUUCUAUGCUUUCUGUAAAACUAUUUUUCAUCUUUUAAGACUAAUUAUAAACGUUAUCUUAACAGCCUUUCCUGACCUUCCCAGGAAGGGUGAAGAACGUCAUUAUUUGCAUUUCAUAAUGUUUCAUACAUCUCUGUUUAUAUUUAUUGCUUCUCUUUACUAUGUUUAUGAACCCUGUAAGGCUGGGCCCACAAAGUCAUUUUUUAAAUUUCAAUAAUCUAGGUUCGGCCAGACACUCUGGCCUAUAAUCACAGCUACUUUGGAGAUUGAGGCAGAAGGACCCUAAGUUUGAGCCUAGUUUGGGCAAAUAGUGAGACCCAGUCUCAAUAUAAAAUUGAAAAAAGGGCUGGGAGCGCAGCUUAGUAAAAGUACUUGUCUGGCAUGUGUGAGGCCCUGGAGUCAAUCUUCAUUACCAAGCCCAUUCCAAGAAAGAAUUUGUGACUACUUGAGUGAAGGGAUCAGUGUAUAGAUCUUAUCUCUCCAAACAGACUUUUUGAAUAUAAGGAGCAGUAAUUUUAAUUCAUAAAUCUCCAUGUUACUGAGUAUUUUUUUAUGCAGAUAGUAAGCAUUCAAAACAUUUCAUUUAUUUGAGGCUUCCUUUCUUUCUUUCCUGAUGUAUUUUUGGCAUGCAUAAUGAGAAUAAGGAACUUGUAAAAUAGCUGAAUUCUUUUGAUUGCUAGAACAAUAAC
rnacentral:lncRNA from 1 species